rnacentral:snRNA from 1 species
AUAAUUUUCAUGAAAAAAACAAGUUUUUAAGUCAUCAAACGACCCCUACCGGGGUCAAAAGAGAUUAACCAAUUUUUGGAAACUGGUCGCAGCCGGGGGCUUGCUCCCGCUCGGCCGCGCGUCGUCCCGGUAUUGCACUUGCCUCCGGGCACGGCGCAUCUCCC